rnacentral:lncRNA from 1 species
AUGACCUGUACCGGCGGUGCCCAGCGGCUGGGUGGUCAGGGCAGGCUCCCCGGAGGCGGCGGCGGCGGCCCGGGCCCGGCACGCGGGACCGGUAAGGCGACCCUGCCUAAUGGGCUCGGAAACAAGCGUUGGGGCCCGACCGGGCCGAGGGCGGGGCCCGGGCGAAGGCGGUGGGCUGAGGCCGAGGUCCGGGCGGGGGCGGCCGGCGAGUUAGGGUUAGGGCGAGAGGAUUCGGCUUCCCGGCGGCAGAGGGCGCCUGGCGCUGCGGUCCGGCGCGCCGGAGCCGCCCGCGCGGGCGCCGAGAGGAGAGGCGAGGCGAGGCGGGGAGCGCGAGCGACGGCGGCCACUGCCACGUAUUCCCGGCAGUGGCGGCGGCGGCGGCGGUGGCGGCGGCACGGGAGGAGGAAUAACCCAAGUCACCUUUCCUGGAAAUCAGUUUGCUGCAAGCCUUGAAACUGCAGUUCUUGGAGUUGAAGAAAAGGAGGUUGUGCGCCUUGACCAGAGGAGCGUGGCCCGUCCUUCAAAACCCUCUCCGGACGCCUUCCUAGCCUCGCCCGGGAAAGAUGCGGCAGCUCAAAGGCAAGCCCAAGAAGGAGACGUCCAAGGACAAGAAGGAGCGGAAGCAGGCCAUGCAGGAGGCCCGACAGCAGAUCACCACGGUGGUGCUGCCCACGCUGGCCGUGGUCGUGCUUCUGAUCGUGGUGUUCGUGUACGUGGCCACGCGCCCCACCGUCACCGAGUGAGCGCUGUGGGCGGGCUCCCCAAGCAGGCAGUGGAGGCCCGGGAGGGGGAAGGCCAACGAAACAUGGCUCUCGUGUCCCGAGAUUUUCCUGAUGCUGAGCUCCGAGCAGGGGCACCCUGUCUUCUCUGGUCUUUGACUUGAUUAAAGUUUCUCCAAUUUCCCUGGGAGGGAAUAGGGAACGUUUUAUCAGUGAACGUGCCAUACACCUUAUGGUCCACUUCAUGUGCCUUUCAGACUUCAAAGCGGUGUGUGUGUGUGUGUGUGUGUGUGUGUUUCUUUGUCUCUCCUAAAAUC